rnacentral:rRNA from 1 species
UACGUAGGGGGCAAGCGUUGUCCGGAUUUAUUGGGCGUAAAGAGCGUGUAGGCGGCUAGGUAGGUCCGUUGUGAAAACUCGAGGCUCAACCUCGAGACGUCGAUGGAAACCAUCUAGCUAGAGUCCGGAAGAGGAGAGUGGAAUUCCUGGUGUAGCGGCGAAAUGCGCAGAUAUCAGGAAGAACACCCGUGGCGAAGGCGGCUCUCUGGUACGUGACUGACGCUGAGACGCGAAAGCGUGGGGAGCGAACAGG